UCCCUUGUGGCUUAGCUGGUAAAGAAUCUGCCUGCAAUGUGGAAGACCUGGGUUCAAUCCCUGUCUUGGGAA
rnacentral:tRNA from 1 species